ACAGACACGCAAUCCCGCUGCCUGGCAGUGCUUCCAGGGACAGCCGUCCUGCCGGCUCCCCUCCUCUGCCCCUUUCCGUGGAUAAAAAUGACUGAUGGAGCCCAUUACUUAUCUAUCAGAUAAUAGAUCUACUUCAACACAGAUUCCUUAUGAAACUCUCUCUUAGCAAAAUUUUUUUCUGGAUGUAGAGGAGGCGUUGGACUAAAACGUUGCUUUCCUGGCUUCAUUGGAAGAAACAAGAGUAGCAGGCUCUGGAAAUAAAUCUGCCUCUCGCUCAGCACCAGAUCACCGACAAGUGUUCGUCCAUCUGCCAUCAGCAGUCAAACCGUGCGUCCGUCGGUGAGGUGUUACAGUGGUGUAAUUGAGUGAGGCUGUUUUGGAGUGGGCUCCGUGCCCACAUGGUGGGGCUGCUGGGGACUGAGAUGCUCCUCGGGAUCUUCUGGUGAUGGGUGGGAAUGGUGGAUCGGUGCCAGUGAUGGAGGGAGCUCAGCACAGCUGUCCCUCAAAUCCUUGUGCUGGGGUCUCAUCUGCAGCUCCUCGUAUCAGUUACUGGCCCCAGCACUGAACCUCUGCCCUAGCAUUUGGGUGUCAGUCCCUAUUGUCAUCACUCAUUCUGUGAUGUCCUUACACGGGCAGAAGGCGCACGUGCUUGUGUUACAUUCCCUGCAAUAUUGCAGCAGCUGGCAGUGUGACCUGUGCUUCCCAGGGCGGUGAUGUCCCUCCAGGGGCUUGGCUGGUCAUGGAACCCACAGACGGAGCCAUCAAGUUCUGCAAGGCCUCCCAAAAAUGUUGCCUGCAUCUGCACCACUGUGUCCCAUAACACUGCAAUGUGACAGAGACCCCAAGGAAAAUGGAGUCAGGAAGAUUAUGCUGAAGUUAUAGCUCAUUAAAGGAAAGCACACAGAGAUGUUUUUAUGUCGCUGUUACUUAUAAAAGAGCCAGUUAAGACCGCUUAUUACAGUAAUUACAGCAGCGUAAAGAGAGACCUAGCAAAGAUUACAGCACUUAGUAUACCAUCAUUGGGGCUUAAAUGAAACAUAUUUAGGACUCAAACAAGGCAUUUCCCACGUGGCAGGGCAAGAGAUGAAGAGGGCAGGAGAUGUCUGCAUGGGUAGCUUGGGUGGCUGCAGUGUCCCCAGCCCCAAGAGAGGGGCAGAGUUGGGACACAGGACCAGGUGGGUGACUUUUCAGGGGACAGCUUAAGGAACUCUUCUUAACCACCUCCAUCACACCGGCUGCUGCAGGGAUCAUGAAUCAAGAAAGAAACUGUGAAGGACCUACUUCUACCAUGUGACACGAUGCCCUAGUAAAUCCCCCGCUUACACCCCCAGCUUCCAGAGCUGGGAGGAACUGGACCAUGGAAUUUAAUAGCCCUGCUGGGACUUGUCCUCCCUUAAUUUAUCCAGACCCCCUCUGAUAAAGAAUUUAUGUUGUCACCUCUGAAGUUGGUGUCAUCUCAGACCAUGUACUCUUCUACAGCUGGAUUUAUACCAACAUCUACUUAAAACUCUCUUCAACCCUUUUCAUUACUUAUACAAACAACUUUGUCCUGCUUUGUUUCAUAAAGCCCAUAUUUUCAGAGCAGACUCUCCCACUGCAGAAUUUGCCAAAUUGAUAAAAAAAUUCCAGACUCCUCUUCCCUAUACAUCUCUCUCAGUCCUUCACAGAAUCUGCAUCUCUGCAUGGCCCCAUGCAGGGAGCAUCUCACAGGGCAUCCCUAUGCAGUCUGCUGCCUUCCUUCUUGCUGGCACUUCCAGAUAUUCCCCAGCACUCUCUAAGAUCAUAGAAUCAUAGAAUGGCCUGGGUUGAAAAGGACAAUAAUGAUCAUCUAGUUUCAAUCCCCUGCUAUGUGCAGGAUCACCAACCACCAGACCAGGCUGCCCAGAGCCACAUCCAGAUGCUCCAUGAUGUCUGUCACUCUCACCUUGCAAGGGUGAAGCCCUCACAGAAAUCACAAACCUGGUUUGGCUACUCUUGACUCUGUGGUUUAUGAACUGACUGCAGUGUCUAUAAUUUCUAUCCCACUUCCACAAGGUCACGGGGUCUCAGUAGGUGAUGCUCACUGCAGUACUCAUGCCUCCACAGCUGCAUUUUUAACCAAACACUGAUUCACUCUCAGCUGGUUUGCUUUUCCUUGAAUUAUUUCUUCAUUCACAGUUUGCUGAGGAAUCAAGACUGGAGAUGCCUGCAGCCAUCUCCUCUCCCACAGCUCAGCUUCUGCUGCAGCCAAAUUCUCCUUCCUUUGAUUGGCUCUGCAGCCCUAGGGGGCACCCAGUUGAGCACACACUGCACAUGAGAUGAUGCAGAUCGUGUUUUCUCUCAAAGGAGUACAAUGUGUGUUUGGCUCCACACAACUGGAUUCCAGUCUCCCAGAAGGAAGCAUGGCAUUCGACAAGGCGUUGCUCAGGUUGGGUUGUCAGGUUACAGCCAUCUGGAGUAUGUGGGAAGCCAGGUCAGCCAGCAGCAUACGUUUCACCCCUUAACAAAUAUCCAGAUGGUGCUUGCCCUGCUGAGCAGUGUCCUUUACAACAUCAGUGGCCUUGCGUGGAGCUCUUCUCCAGUUGCCCUCACAGAAAAGGGUAGGACAGGAAAAAUACAGGAAAACAUUUUCCUUUUUAAAUCCAAUUUAGGGGAUUUAGAAAGGACAUGAUGAUUUUUUAAGGGCUCCUAUGACGUGGUGGUGAAAAUGAGCGUGCAAACAAAUGCGUGUGAGAACUAAUGAUUUGUGUGCCAGUGUUCAGCAGGGGAUUGAGUUCCUAUUAAUUGCAGAGGAGUUGGGCUAGGUGACCUUUAAGGUUCCUUCCAACUGAAAUGGUUCUAUGAUACUAUGAUUCUUCACCCUUUUAGCAGAAGCUCCACGCCAGACCUUUGCUGGCCUGGGGUGGCUUUCCUGCUUGCAGUGAUGUGUGCAGGUGGCAUCACUGCUCAAAAAGGGUGGGCACUGGGGAGAUCUGGUGCCAAACCAAGCAGAUGAGUGUCUUCAGGUCACAGAAAUGGCUGAUCUUUGGGGAAUCCAUAGAAAAUCUUGACAGCUGGCAGCCUGUCCCAGGGAUACCCACCCCAGCACCCACCGCAACUGUGAUAUCCAUGGGCUCUGCAUGCACCCAUGCACCGCCCCUGCACUGAGACCACCAACACCUGACUGGCAUUAUCGCAGUUACAUGGCCAUCAACUGACUGCCCCUAUUGAGAACAAGCCUGAUUUACACCAGUGUAACCCAGCCAGCUUGGAUUUCCACCUCUGCAGCUGUAAGCAGAUGCAUCAGUUCUCCGUAGCCAAGCCUGCUUCUGAAACCUGCUCUCUUUUAUAGAGCCAGAUGUGUUUGAAUACCAGAGUUGAGCAGACACCUCCGACUGGCUGAUGCAUGCCUGGUUCAUUUUUCCAUUCAAUCCAUUUUCUCUGAAAAUGAGAUAUAAGCAAUGAAUUCAAUACAGUUUUAUUGGAUCCAAUGCACUGCCACUAAAACAAAUAUAUGUACACUCAGGCCACUACACUUUUAUUAAAACAAAUAGAAUUUAAUUCAAACCAGCAUUCAAUAGCUACGGCUUGGGUUUGUGGGGUUUUUUUUUCCUUUUUUUGUGAGUGUGUAUGUUUUAAAAGGGAUGAAAUUAAAUCCUCCUGGUACUUCUCAGUAUGUUCUCACAAUCAGAUUCAUUUGACCUAGGCAAUGUGUAUUUAUUAUAGGUAACACAUUUUUAUUAAACAGAAAUUUACAGAAACUAGAUGCAGACAGAAACCCGAACCACAUGUAAGGUUAGAUCAGGAGGACAGGGAGGAGGGUUCUCUGAUGGUUAUUUGUUAUGCUGGUAAAAAGCACUCCGUUCUACUCAGGAUUUAUUUCUUUUUCAGACUACCACACUUGGGGUGAUGGAUUUCUUCUCAAAAAAGAACUCUUGGAAGUCAGUGACUUUCUAGAAAAACCACACUGGCAGAUACAGGUAGACCAUGGAGAAGUGUUCACUGUUCUCUACAGCGGGACAAUAGGACUAAAAUACUUGAUAAGUAGAGGGGCUGUGGUGACGGGUGUGGAGCAGGGGUCUGGUGCAGUGAGAUCAACACAGAAAUGAAACUGGGUCAUCGUUUACAACAGUGAUAUUUGCUUAAUCACAUUUCCACACCUGUGUUCAUAGGUGAGAUUUUUUGCAGACAUUUUAGAAAGUCUUCUUCCUUUUCUCAUAAUGUGUUCCUGAAAGUCCAGCCCAGAUUUCCAUGUCUGGUGAAUAAAAACCAUAAUUUUACAAAA